rnacentral:rRNA from 1 species
GACGUAGGGCGCGAGCGUUGUCCGGAUUUAUUGGGCGUAAAGAGCUCGUAGGCGGUUUGUCGCGUCUGCCGUGAAAGUCCGGGGCUCAACUCCGGAUCUGCGGUGGGUACGGGCAGACUAGAGUGAUGUAGGGGAGACUGGAAUUCCUGGUGUAGCGGUGAAAUGCGCAGAUAUCAGGAGGAACACCGAUGGCGAAGGCAGAUCUCUGGGCCGUAACUGACGCUGAGGAGCGAAAGCAUGGGGAGCGAACAGG